CCGAGCAACUUGUCACAAUGAUCCAAUCAGGACAUAAGGAACCUGAAGCCCAGCAACACUGCUCAAAAACAUGCUUGAGUCUGCAAAUCUAAAUGACAAAACAGGGUCCUGAUGUUGAACUCAAGCUGAACUCAAAGGAAACAGGGGAAAAAGAAAAGGAGGACAAAAAAAGAAAAGCAGGCAUCAGUUAUGCAAAUGGAAGCAAUUUCACGUGAAUGGCAGAUCGCCUUCCCCAAAUG